GACGAAGGAUGCAAGCGUUAUCCGGAUUCAUUGGGUUUAAAGGGAGCGUAGGCGGGUCUUUAAGUCAGGGGUGAAAUCCUGGAGCUCAACUCCAGAACUGCCUUUGAUACUGAAGAUCUUGAGUUCGGGAGAGGUGAGUGGAACUGCGAGUGUAGAGGUGAAAUUCGUAGAUAUUCGCAAGAACACCAGUGGCGAAGGCGGCUCACUGGCCCGAUACUGACGCUGAGGCACGAAAGCGUGGGGAGCAAACAGG
rnacentral:rRNA from 1 species